rnacentral:rRNA from 1 species
CGGGUGAGUAAUGUCUGGGAAACUGCCUGAUGGAGGGGGAUAACUACUGGAAACGGUAGCUAAUACUGCAUAACGUCGCAAGACCAAAGAGGGGGACCUUCGGGCCUCUUGCCAUCGGAUGUGCCCAGAUGGGAUUAGCUAGUAGGUGGGGUAACGGCUCACCUAGGCGACGAUCCCUAGCUGGUCUGAGAGGAUGACCAGCCACACUGGAACUGAGACACGGUCCAG